rnacentral:rRNA from 1 species
UACACUCCUGCGGGAGGCAGCAGUAGGGAAUCUUCCACAAUGGGUGCAAACCUGAUGGAGCAAUGCCGCGUGAGUGAAGAAGGUCUUCGGAUCGUAAAGCUCUGUUGUUAGAGAAGAACACGUGCUAGGUAACUACUAGCGCCUUGACGGUAUCUAACCAGAAAGUCACGGCUAACUACGUGCCAGCAGCCGCGGUAAUACGUAGGUGACAAGCGUUGUCCGGAUUUAUUGGGCGUAAAGGGAGCGCAGGCGGUCUGUUUAGUCUAAUGUGAAAGCCCACGGCUUAACCGUGGAACGGCAUUGGAAACUGACAGACUUGAAUGUAGAAGAGGAAAAUGGAAUUCCAAGUGUAGCGGUGGAAUGCGUAGAUAUUUGGAGGAACACCAGUGGCGAAGGCGAUUUUCUGGUCUAACAUUGACGCUGAGGCUCGAAAGCGUGGGGAGCGAACAGGAUUAGAAACCCUAGUAGUCCC